GUGAGGAAUAUUGGACAAUGGAUGGAAAUCUGAUCCAGCCAUGCCGCGUGCAGGAAGAAGGUCCUAUGGAUUGUAAACUGCUUUUGUACGGGAGCAAUAAGGGCUAUGCGUAGUUCGAUGAGAGUACCGUACGAAUAAGGAUCGGCUAACUCCGUGCCAGCAGCCGCGGUAAUACGGAGGAUCCGAGCGUUAUCCGGAUUUAUUGGGUUUAAAGGGUGCGUAGGCGGUUCAAUAAGUCAGUGGUGAAAGUUUUCGGCUUAACCGGAAAAUUGCCGUUGAUACUGUUGGGCUUGAAUUUGGUUGCUGUGAGUGGAAUGUGUGGUGUAGCGGUGAAAUGCUUAGAUAUCACACAGAAUAUCGAUUGCGAAGGCAUCUCACAAAGCCAAUAUUGACGCUGAUGCACGAAAGUGUGGGGAUCAAACAGGAUUAGAUACCCGAGUAGUCC
rnacentral:rRNA from 1 species